GGAGGAGGAGGGGGAGGGGGAGGAGGAGGGGGAGGAGGAGGAGGAGGAGGAGGAGGAGGAGGAGAAGGAGAAGGAGAAGGAGAAGGAGAAGGAGAAGGAGAAGGAACAGCAAACUCAAGGUUGAUAAAGAGUAGUGCGUGUGUUCAGCAAAGUAGAGAAAGAAACCCUGGCAAAUGGGAAAAAAAAAAAAGCAGUCUUCACAGGAGAAUCAGAGGCUUCCUCACCCCACCUCUCCCUCCUCCGGGUGCAGAGGGCCGUGGUAUUUCGGCUGUGCAGUGCUACCACCCUCUGGCCACCUUCAAAAACACAGCCCUCCGUCUGCGGGAGUGCCCUGAACAUCAAUCAUCUGCCUCGUAUGUCCUCUCCGUGAGACGAAUGCUGCCUUUCAGCAUACCCAGUGAGAGAGAGAUGGUGAUUUAAGCCUUCUGAUGUGGCUCUACACAACGCCUGUUUUGAUUUCUUCUUUUUAUAAAGGAAUUUCAUCUGGGUGUAGGAUGCAAAGGUUGACACAACUGAAUGUGUUCGUCCUCCGCUGGUGCAGCACAUGUGGCAGGGGGAGCCUUCUAAGAAGCCAUCAUACACAUUAGAGUUGCAGCUGAUUCCUGCUUGGAGGAUGUCUUCUGUGGAAGGGGAUGUUCCUGGGUCAUUUUGAGAUCAAACUGUUAGAAUGGCAUUUCUCCUGGUACCUUGACCAAGAGAUUUUAUCCUUCAGCUCCUCAGCCACACAGCUGUAAAACAGAGAUUAUACACCUUAGCUCUUGCUUAUGGUAUUGCCAGCACGAGCUUAUUCAUGGUUUUGAUUGCAUGGGUUUGAAAUUAUAAAAAUGCCAAGUUAUGCAGCAGUCCACACAGGUCACUCUGUACUGACACUACCAACACUGAGACAGCUGCAGAUAUAUUUGUCAGUGGGGGGAGCUUCUGCCCAUCUGAAAUUGCACUGAGACCACUAGCUCAUUUCCCAAAGCACAGCAAGAAGUUAUGGGGUGGGAAGAACUGGAUAAGUAAAAAAGAAUUUGUGAGCAAAGCCCAAAGUACUUGGAAUAUGAGAGCCAUUUCACAUACUGGUGCUGAGUCAGAACACUGAGCUUAUUUUGCUGAAAAAUUCCCAACUUUUCAUAUUUUAUGCAAGAAAGAAUGCAAUGAAAGCAAGUGUAGAGAGAAAAACAGGCUCAAAAGCAAAAAGGUUGCUUCAAAGUUCAAAGAACAUGUUCUAGCAUGAUGCUUUUUUGUGGCAAGCAAAUAAUUUUUUCAGCCUUUAUGGGACAAGGAAGUGUGAAGAACAUAGGUAACAAAGUGUUUUCUUGCAGAAUCUUGCUAGCUUUGUAAGUCUUCAGGCGUGAUGGAGGAUCAUUCUGGCCAUGUCCUGCUUCAAACAGUGAAAGCAUCCAUUGUUCUUUAUUAUUUCCUUGUCACAGCCUCG
rnacentral:lncRNA from 1 species